rnacentral:rRNA from 1 species
UGGGGAAUAUUGGACAAUGGGCGCAAGCCUGAUCCAGCCAUGCCGCGUGAGUGACGAAGGCCUUAGGGUUGUAAAGCUCUUUUGGCGGGGAAGAUAAUGACGGUACCCGCAGAAUAAGCUCCGGCUAACUUCGUGCCAGCAGCCGCGGUAAUACGAAGGGAGCUAGCGUUGUUCGGAAUCACUGGGCGUAAAGCGCACGUAGGUGGGCAGUUAAGUCAGGGGUGAAAGCCCGAGGCUCAACCUCGGAAUUGCCUCUGAUACUGACUGUCUAGAGUUCGAGAGAGGUGAGUGGAAUUCCUAGUGUAGAGGUGAAAUUCGUAGAUAUUAGGAAGAACACCGGUGGCGAAGGCGGCUCACUGGCUCGAUACUGACACUGAGGUGCGAAAGCGUGGGGAGCAAACAGGAUUAGAUACCCAGGUAGUCCCUGAGCGGGCUGGCAAGGCGCAU